GAUGAACGCUAGCGGCAGGCCUAACACAUGCAAGUCGAGGGGCAGCACGGUGUAGCAAUACACUGGUGGCGACCGGCGCACGGGUGCGUAACGCGUAUGCAACUUACCUAUCAGAGGGGGAUAACCCGGCGAAAGUCGGACUAAUACCGCAUGAAGCAGGGGCCCCGCAUGGGGAUAUUUGCUAAAGAUUCAUCGCUGAUAGAUAGGCAUGCGUUCCAUUAGGCAGUUGGCGGGGUAACGGCCCACCAAACCGACGAUGGAUAGGGGUUCUGAGAGGAAGGUCCCCCACAUUGGUACUGAGACACGGACCAAACUCCUACGGGAGGCAGCAGUGAGGAAUAUUGGUCAAUGGGCGUAAGCCUGAACCAGCCAAGUCGCGUGAGGGAUGAAGGUUCUAUGGAUCGUAAACCUCUUUUAUAAGGGAAUAAAGUGCGGGACGUGUCCCGUUUUGUAUGUACCUUAUGAAUAAGGAUCGGCUAACUCCGUGCCAGCAGCCGCAGUAAG
rnacentral:rRNA from 1 species